rnacentral:rRNA from 1 species
AGUGAACGCUGGCGGUAGGCCUAACACAUGCAAGUCGAACGGCAGCACAGUAAGAGCUUGCUCUUACGGGUGGCGAGUGGCGGACGGGUGAGGAAUACAUCGGAAUCUACUUUUUCGUGGGGGAUAACGUAGGGAAACUUACGCUAACACCGCAUACGACCUACGGGUUAAAGCAGGGGAUCUUCGGACCUUGCGCGAUUGAAUGAGCCGAUGUCGGAUUAGCUAGUUGGCGGGGUAAAGGCCCACCAAGGCGACGAUCCGUAGCUGGUCUGAGAGGAUGAUCAGCCACACUGGAACUGAGACACGGUCCAGACUCCUACGGGAGGCAGCAGUGGGGAAUAUUGGACAAUGGGCGCAAGCCUGAUCCAGCCAUACCGCGUGGGUGAAGAAGGCCUUCGGGUUGUAAAGCCCUUUUGUUGGGAAAGAAAAGCAGCAGGUUAAUACCCCGCUGUUCUGACGGUACCCAAAGAAUAAGCACCGGCUAACUUCGUG